UUGGAUGUUUCAGCUGUGAAAUGUAGACCUAAAUUUCAAACACUCCAGACUUUGGGGUUCUAGGGCAGAUUUGCCUUUAAUAUGUUGGAGUUAGUCCUGCAACCAUCUACAGAAGUCAAUCUUGUGUUGAAAGGAUCAUUGGGAUCAAUAUAUGCUCUAGUUACAAGAGGUCUUACAGAUUCCAUGAUCACCAGCUGUCUAAGGGAGGAAGCAACACAAGCAAUCUCAUUGUUUUAUCAAGUAGGUUUCCUAAUGGAAGAAAGUGAUGUUACAGAAUUCCUGGCAAAAUCCACCUGGGUUCCAAGCUGACAGUCUAGCAGAAAACUGAAAAUCCAGGAAUUAUCCUGUAAGCCUCAGAGUUAAAGACAACAAAAACAGGACAGAGGACAGUACUAUUCCUUUGGGGCAGUGAGAAGAAGUGGAUGCAUGA